rnacentral:rRNA from 1 species
CUUUUGUUGCGAAAAGGGCUUGGAGAAUUGAGCAAGUCCCUGUGCUAGGCUGUUUUAUUAAAACCUCUCUUUUACACACUUGCCUAUACUAUGAUAAUACAAUAAUUUCUAUUCUAAGUAGAUUUCUAUUUUGAGAGUUAUUAAAGUGCUGUAUGUAAGUAUAGAAUUCGCCCGAUAAGCCCGUUCUCUAAGGUGGAAACACUGUAUUAAACAGUAUACACCAAAACUCAAUGAACUAAAAGAUUUUAUUAAUUGAAGGAAAAGAAACCAACCGGGAUUGCGCUAGUAGUACAGAGCGAAAGUGCAUAAGCUUGAUUAAAUAUUUUUUGUUUACGGUUGAACUUAAGUGGAAUCCGGACCAGAGAAAGUUAUAGUCUUGUAGAUUGUAAACAAAAAAGUGCUGUAACCUUUGCCCUUGCCUAUGGCUUCGGACAAAGGUUAUUUAUGAGCAUGAACUAUUUAUUUUUUGGCAUAAUCCAGAAAAGUAAUAAAUGGGAAGAUCAAUCAAAUUAGUGGUUUAACACUGCUAGUAAUUGACGGAAACCACUCCGUUGGCUAAAUAUUCUAUGUAGAUCGAUAGUGAAUCAGUACUGUAAAGGAAUUUGGAAACAAGAAUGCCGUUGCUUCUCUGAAUACAAGUCCCAAAACAGGUUGCUUAUAAUGACUUUCAGUUUGGCAGUUAUAAUGUUGAAUAGAAAGGUUCCUUUUGAAUCAUGAGCUGAUGACUUUGUGUUAGUUUAAGGCAUACAUUAAUUGUUCCCUUUGGUUUAAUCAAAAAAAGUAAAAUUGAUGUGAGUAGCUUAAUUUAUUAAAAGUAAGCUUAUUAUGAAAGUAAAGUAUUCAUAGAAAACUAACACAAGACGCGAAACGAAGUGAGCUUAAGUAGGCCAGGGGGAAGGUUACCGGAAGGUAGUUGGACGCCCGAAGUGGUAUGCGUUGCAACGCGUUCAUAUGAGUUUAUUUAAGUGGCGAAAUACCAAUCGAACUUCGAAAUAUCUCGUUUUUUGCGAAACCUUUUUAGGAAGGGGGCCUGCAAAAUAAAUGCUAACUAGGUAGAGCGCUGUAAAACUGAUGGGAAGGAAACUUUUACUGAGGUGUUGCAAACCACAAAUUAGGGGCAUUUUAUCAGGUACUCAGUCAGUGCGGGACAAGCUGCAUUUGACAAGAAGGAAACAGCCUAGACUAUGAAUUAAGGCCCGAAAAUAGCGCUAAGUGAGAAAGUAAUUAACUUCACAAAAAUUAGUAGGACGUUUGAUUAGUAGCAUCUACCGUUUCAAGAAAGCGUAAUAGCUCACUACUAUAGUUUAGUUGUUGCGAAAAUUUAGCCGGACUAAGCGCUAUGCCGAAAUUAUAGCUAGCUGGCUGCUAUAAAAGCCAGUUAGAGUAGCAAAACGAACCAUGUUGACAAAGUUAUGUCGGUAAGACUUAAUGAAAAUAUUGGUUGUGAAUAUAUCAGCUAGAGUAACAUAUAAAUUGAGAUUUUAAAAUAAAUUAUAGCUUUUUAAUCUUGGUUUAACCCUUGUAUUUAUAUAAAUAUAAAAAGUUUAUUUAUUAAAAGAAUAGUAUCUCAAUGAUCGGAAAUCCUGGGUUUUCUACACAACUAUUAAAGAUGUAGUUAAAAAUACGGUCCCUAAGUAAUAUAAAGGUUACGAUGGGUACCUGCUAUGCCCAAUAAAAUCUUAUUUGUAGAUCUGUUGCAGGAAAAAAUAGCAGGCAAUUUAUACAACAAUAUAUUUGUUUUUGCGUGUACAAAUGAGUAAUACCGUACUAAAACUGACUCUGGUGGAUUAGUAGAUUUUACUAAGAUUUGGUUAUAAUCGUUCGUAAGGAACUCGGCAAAUUGCGCUGGUACUUUCGAAAACAGCGGUCUAAAAGUUAUGUUUUAGAUCUCAGAUAAGAGAACUGGGUGACAGUUUACUAAAAACUUAGCGUCCUGCCAAUUUGAAACAAGACGUAUAGGAUGUGACGUUUGCUAACGGCCACUAAUUUAAGUAAUCUGUUGUAAAAGGUAGAUAAACAAGAUGUGGUGACGAGCGGCCGUAACUAUAACGGUCAUAAAGUAGCGAAAUUCCUAGGCAUUUAAUUGGUGUCCUGCAUGAAUAACGUAACAACCUGGUUGCUGUCUCGCGAGCGAAAACCGUGAAAUAAGAAUAUCGGUUAAAAUACCGAUUAGGCUGUCUUAGACGAUAAGACCCUGUGAAGCUUUACUGUAACCUAGCAUUGCGAUCGGUUUUUUAUCUUACAGUUAGGCGGGAGGCAAUGCCAACAAUGGAAAACCGCUAGAUAAUAAAUUGGUCGCUUUUAUACAAGAGUACUUUUUAAUCUAUAAGAUAUUUAUAUAAGGGGCAUUAUAUAAAAAAUUUUAUGCAAAUAGAAUAAACUUUAUGUAAAUAAACCUCUAUAUAAAAUACUUUAAUUAACAAGGCUCGAAGACAGUGUUAGGUGGGCAGUUUACUUGGGGCGAGGUCUGGCUAAAAAGUAACGCCAGAGAGCAAAAGGUAUGCUCAGUAUUGUCGGAAACAAUAUGUAGAGCGUAAUAGUAUAAGCAUGCCUGAUUAUAAGACUGACAAGUCAAAUAAGGACGAAAGUCUGCUAUAGUGACCCUCACAUGCUAGGUGGAAAGGUGUGAGAUCAACGAAUCAAAGUUACUCCAGGGAUAACAGGGUAGUCCUGGCUUAUAGUUCUUAUAGACGCCAGGGUUCGCCACCUCGAUGUUGCCUCAGGUCAUCCUAGAGCUGCACAAGGUUCUAAGGGCGCAACUGUUCUUUGCAUAAUGACCUACGUGAGGUGAGUUUAAACCGCCGUAAGGCAGGUUUGGUUCUAUCUAGACAGCCAUAAUAUUUAACCAAGCACUAGAAUUCCACUGUACGAAAGGACCCGGAAUUCCGCGCCAAUGGUUUAGCAAUUGUUUUGAAAAAAGCACUGUUGCAACGCUAAGCGCGAAAUGUUAAUUGCUGAAAAACUAUCAAGCAAGAAACAAUUGUAAAGGUUAUAGUAGAUCGCAUUUGCGUAAAUAGGCGCGGGGUGUACACUUUGUAAGAAGCUGAGCUACCGCGUACUAAUCUUUUU